rnacentral:rRNA from 1 species
GACGAACGCUGGCGGCGUGCCUAACACAUGCAAGUCGAGCGGAGAUGUACUGAAGAUUUAUCGGAUGUACAUCUUAGCGGCGGACGGGUGAGUAACGCGUGGGCAACCUGCCUUUCACUGGGGGAUAACACAGGGAAACCUGUGCUAAUACCGCAUGACAUCACGUAGGGCAUCCUAUGUGAUCAAAGGAGAGAUCCGGUGGAAGAUGGGCCCGCGUCCAAUUAGCUGGUUGGUGAGGUAAAGGCUCACCAAGGCGACGAUUGGUAGCCGAACUGAGAGGUUGAUCGGCCACAUUGGGACUGAGACACGGCCCAGACUCCUACGGGAGGCAGCAGUGGGGAAUAUUGCGCAAUGGGGGGAACCCUGACGCAGCAACGCCGCGUGAAGGAAGAAGGUCUUCGGAUUGUAAACUUCUUUGAUGAGGGACGAAUAAAGUGACGGUACCUCAAAAACAAGCCACGGCUAACUACGUGCCAGCAGCCGCGGUAAAAGUC